GACGAACGCUGGCGGCGUGCUUAACACAUGCAAGUCGAACGGAAAGGCCCUGCUUUUGUGGGGUGCUCGAGUGGCGAACGGGUGAGUAACACGUGAUUAACCUGCCCUUGACUUUGGGAUAACUUCAGGAAACUGGGGCUAAUACCGGAUAGGGGCUCCUGCGGCAUGGGGGGGGUUGGAAAGUUUCGGCGGUUGGGGAUGGACUCGCGGCUUAUCAGCUUGUUGGUGGGGUAGUGGCUUACCAAGGCUUUGACGGGUAGCCGGCCUGAGAGGGUGACCGGCCACAUUGGGACUGAGAUACGGCCCAGACUCCUACGGGAGGCAGCAGUGGGGAAUAUUGCACAAUGGGCGGAAGCCUGAUGCAGCAACGCCGCGUGCGGGAUGACGGCCUUCGGGUUGUAAACCGCUUUCGCCUGUGACGAAGCGUGAGUGACGGUAAUGGGUAAAGAAGCACCGGCUAACUACGUG
rnacentral:rRNA from 1 species